AUUGAACGCUGGCGGCAGGCCUAACACAUGCAAGUCGAACGAGUGGCGGACGGGUGUGUAAUGUCUGGGAAACUGCCUGAUGGCGGGGGAUAACUACUGGAAACGGUAGCUAAUACCGCAUACCCUAGGAUGUGCCCGAAUGGGAUUAGCUAGUUGGUGGGGUAAAGGCUCACCUCGGCGACGAUCGCGAGCUGGUUUGAGCGGAUGACCGGCCACACGGGAACUGAGACACGGUCCAGACUCCUACGGGAGGCAGCAGUGGGGAAUAUUGCACAAUGGGCGCAAGCCUGAUGCAGCCAUGCCGCGUGUAUGAAGAAGGCCUGCGGGUUGUAAAGUACUUUCAGCGGGGAGGCGUUACCCGCAGAAGAAGCACCGGCUAACUCCGUGCCAGCAGCCGCGGUAAUUC
rnacentral:rRNA from 1 species